AUGUAAAUGAUGGCUGAGUAACACAGAAUCCAUCUCCCAGUCACCAUCAUUGAGACCAGUUUUACUCAAUGAUAAUAAUUUUCGUGAUUGCAGACUUCAGAGUGAUCAGAAAUAUGCUUUAGCUGUUGCAUUUAUCUACUGCUGGUACUUGACCCUUAAUUAAAUUCUGAAACUUUUUUAUAUAAUAAAGUAAAAUACAGCUGACACUUCUGUUCAAACAAAGAGGCUCAAACACAGAUCCACCAAAUAAGAUAAAGGGAAUGAAGACAUUUGGAGAAGAAGCGUUUACUGAAAGGAGAUUCCUGGGCUGGAGGAAAACCAUGAUCUACAGUUCAUGUUGACAGAUAUUGUAUUUUUGGUCCUAGAUCUGACUUUUGAAAUGACUUAUCACAAAUUCAAAUUUAGCAAUCAUGAGUGAAGUACCCACGAUGUGCUAAGCAUCUACCUCUGCAGAUAGAAGAACACUUACUGUUCCUGAGCAUGGGAGGGAAUAGAAGUUCCUGGGUCCUGGCCUCACCUCAUCAGGCACUGCCAAAUUUGACACCUCCUUCCUGUUCACGGCAGUCCUUUGCGAUAGGGUAUUAGAUGCCACCAAGUAGCUGCAUAACUCACCCAUUUGGUCAGAGCCUGGGUCUAAGCCAGGUCUGACAGACUCCAAAGCAAGCCCUGUUUACAGCAUGACUGGGAUCCAGUGGGUAAGACCAACCUGUCAAUGCCCAAGUGCAGAUGCAAUAAUAGUGCUUCAACUGAUUGUUGCAAACCCCUCAUGAGGGAUGCCAAAUCCCAGUGCAGAUGGUAACACAGGCUAUUUUUCACCUCCAACCUCUAAUAUCCUUUCUUUCUUUCUUUCCUUUUUUUUUUUUUUUUUUUUUUUUUGAGAUAGAGUCUCCUCUGUCACCCAGGCUGGAGUGCAACAGCACGAUCCCAGCUCACUGCAACCUCCACCUCCUGAGUUCAAGCGUUUCUCUCGCCUCAGCCUCCCGAGUAGCUGGGAUUACAGGCACCCGCCAUCAUGUCCAGCUAAUUUUUGUAUAUUUGUAGAGACGGGGUUUCACCAUGUUGGCCAGACUGGUCUUGAACUCCUGACCUCAGGUGAUCUGCCCGCCUCAGCCUCCCAAAGUGCUAGGAUUACAAGUGUGAGCCACCACGCCCGGCCCCAAUAUUCUUUCUUACUAGACACUGUGUAAGCUAAUUAUUCAGCAAGUAUUUUGCACUGAACUCUAAAUAGGUAAGUAUUUUGUGUCCAUUUUACAGACAAGAGAAAUAAAAUAGGUAAAGUAUUUCCCCAAAGCUAUGAUAAAUGAAUCCCAUAGCUAGAAAUGGCAGAAAACCCAUGGAAACUUCUAUGGGGAGUGGAUGUCUGCCUUACCUUGGCACAAUGCUUGGUUCUCAGAUAUCAUUUCAGUGACAUUGCCAAAUGGGAGAAACCAUGUCUGGUACACGGGACUCAAGCUGCCUCAAAAUAUCCUGAAUGCAUUUUUUCAGGGGAGAAAAUCCAUUUGAAUAAGAAUAGCUAGUUAUAGCUUAUUAUGUGCCAGACACUAUUCAAAGUGUUUAAUGUGUAUUAACUUCUCAAAACCACUCUAUAAGUUAGGUACUAUGAUUUCCAUCUCCAUUUUACAGACGAGGGAACUGAGCUGUCAAAACUAAGUGACUUGAUUGAGGCCAUGCAGCUGGCGAGGGGAGGACCAGGAUCUGAACCCAACUGGGUCUCCCAAGCCUGGGCCACUGAACCAUUUCACCUCUUGGAAAAACUUAAUGGUCAGAGUGGCCCACCCAGUCCAUGGACAGCAUGGAGGAUAAACUGCUUCCCUAGAAAUCCUCUCCAGCAUUCUUGCCACCACGACUUUGGGACACAUUGACCAUGAGGAGGAGCUGGUCAAUGAUGGACAGGAGUCCAGAUUAGCAGAGAUGUGGUAAUAAGGACACCGAUGCCUAAAUACUUGAAAUAUCCAAUAGGAAGCAUUCCACCUUUGUGCAAAUGCGAACCACAUCUCACCAAGUUCAGGCCAAGGCUGCCACCGGUGACGUUUUGGAAAAGAAAAAAAAAAGCGGGGGGAGAGGAGAGAAACAGAGAAGCAAGGAAUGCAGAAGAGAGCAGAGGCCACAAAAACAGCAGCAACGUGUCCUGUGUAUUCUGUUUCCUUGUAAAACUAUGAAGCAUGUUAAGGAGAUACUUCAUUUUUUGAGGAUUCAUACUCUUGUUUAUAUUAUAAUAAAAACAACCCAUGUUCUUUCUAAAAAUUUAGGCAAUGCCUUCGUGCACAUAAAAGUAAAACAAAAUCACCUGUAAUCCUACCACACGCAGAUCAGCACUUGCUAAUCUUUUCACAGGGAUCCUAAGAAUAUCCUAUUCUCUAUAGAAUAUAGUUGAUUUAUGUUACCUAAUAACUAACUGUUAACCAUUUUAAAAUUCUUCAGUUUUACAUUAUGCUAGAAAAAAGGAGCCGUCACUCUACGUGACAUUUCUGUAUAUUGGUUUAUUCAUUCAAUAAACAUUUUUUAAGUACCUACUA
ensembl:lncRNA LINC01102 long intergenic non-protein coding RNA 1102